rnacentral:rRNA from 1 species
GAUGAACGCUGGCGGCGUGCUUAACACAUGCAAGUCGAACGGGAAUUACUCUAUUGAAACUUCGGUCGAUUUAAUUUAAUUCUAGUGGCGGACGGGCGAGUAACGCGUGGGUAACCUGCCUUAUACAGGGGGAUAACAGUCAGAAAUGGCUGCUAAUACCGCAUAAGCGCACAGAGCUGCAUGGCUCAGUGUGAAAAACUCCGGUGGUAUAAGAUGGACCCGCGUUGGAUUAGCUUGUUGGUGGGGUAACGGCCCACCAAGGCGACGAUCCAGAGCCGGCCUGAGAGGGUGAACGGCCACAUUGGGACUGAGACACGGCCCAGACUCCUACGGGAGGCAGCAGUGGGGAAUAUUGCACAAUGGGGGAAACCCUGAUGCAGCGACGCCGCGUGAAGGAAGAAGUAUCUCGGUAUGUAAACUUCUAUCAGCAGGGAAGAUAGUGACGGUACCUGACUAAGAAGCCCCGGCUAACUACGUGCCAGCCGCCGCAGUAA